AUACAAGUCACUUAUCUUGGGACGGAGGGAGUAGUAUAUUUCAAUUCCAAAUUUUCUAUCUAUACUUCUAUACUUAUAUAAAAGAUGAAUUUUGGGAGCUUUUGAAUAAUCAUUUUAUGCUAGGAAUAUAUAUGUAAUUAAAAGAAUAUAUUAAAUUAACUUAAUUCCACUUUAUUUGUAACCGUCAUAAUUGUAUUAAUAGUAUUAUAAUAAUAUUCAAUGGAUUGUUAUAUGGAGUACUAAUUACCACAUAAUAAGCAUUAUGUAUUAAAUUUUUUCAAGAUUUUUCCUAUUAUUUUCAUUUAGAGAUAGUGAAAAGUUUUGUAGAGUUUUUUUGAUAAAGAAGGGAAAGCGAAAAGAAUUUUGGUGAUAAAUGAGUGAAAAUGAUUUGAAAUAGGAUCCUUAUAUUUUAGUAUAACCUAACAUAUGUUAGGAAUUAUCUAUUAAAUGUAUUAAUAUGUAGCCUAUUGUAACAAAUAUUUAAGGUUAUUAAACCAAUGUACUCCGACGUCAAAUUAAAACCGACGUGCCCAAUUUAUGUUUUACAAUUUUCAACUACCAAGAAAUUAAUACUCAUCAUUCUUUUACCGUUACUCAUUACUCUUAUGAAUUCUCUAUGAGAAUUGAAAAAAAAAAUCAAAAUAUUAGAUUCAUAGUAAGAAAAACGUGUGUCCCUACACAGUUUCAACCCAUCAAUCAAUUUUUAAACUAUUUAUUCAGUUUUUUAAACUUAUUAUCCAUAUUUAAAGGUGCAAAUUAAUAGACUUUAAUUCGAACUUAAAUCAUCUCAUGGUUAUUUUUUGACCUAUAAAUAUGACAUUUGAAGGUUUUCUAUCUACAUAUUCCUACUCACCUUACCAAAUUCAAGUUUGACAUUUUUGUUCAUACCACAUGAGGAAAGGUCGAUAUCAUGAAACAAUCUCCACACCUUGCUCAAUGAUCUAGAGCCUUCCACAACUUAUUCGGUCAUCAAAGUUCGUUGCAUUCACGUUUAUGAAGCCACCGCUCAUGGAGCCAAACCAAUGUCCUCAGUUUAUAGGCGUUAGUAGUGAAGCAAUUUUUCCGUGAAGUUUACACGAGAGGUUUGGUGCAAUCUUAAGAAAGUGAGGAUUUUUUGUAAAAUUUCAAGUUUAUUAUUUAUUCUAUUUUCAUUGUGGUUGAAUGUGUGUGUGUGUGUGUGUUUGCUCCUCUCGCUGACAAAUUGUAUUAGAGAAUGAAGUAAAGGGGCAGGUUGUGGACAAAGGUCAAUGAUGUGAUGAGAUUUCUGUGUAGCAUCACCGUUGCCAUACUUAGUGUGUUGAAUAGUAUCAAAAUAGUAAUACGAUGAUUUGAAUUAGUUUGA